ACCGGUGUGAGAUUAAUAGCCCUGUACAGAUGAAGAAACUGAGGGACAGCAAGAUUAAGUGAUUUCCCUAAGGUCACACAGCUAUAUUUAUAGCAUUUGCCCUGGAGAAUUUCUCAUAUUCAAGAUUUGGUGGAUAACUUACACUGGUCAGUGCUGUGCAGAGUCCUAUAGCCCGAGGCGAGAAGAAAAAUCAGUGCUCCUGGUUCUCUCUCAGUUAAAACUGUGAUGUUUUGUUCAUUGUGGGUCUUUGCAUUCAUAUGAUUUUUAAAAUUAUUGUAUUAAAAUAUUUGUCCCCAUUGUGUUUUUUUGGCCUAAAUUUUGCACCUGAGGCAGAUGCAUCCCUCUCCUCACUGUAACCUGGGCCUGAGUUGUUUAAUCUGUUCCUGUGUCUUGGAAACUGGUGAUCAGACCCAGAUGCUAGAGCUUUGCUAUCUGAAGUGUGCACUGUGGCCCCGCAACACAGUUACUCCUGGGAAUGGAUCAGAAAUGCAGCAUCUCGGGCCCUACCCCACACCUGCUGAGUCAGAAUGGGCACUUAACCAGGUCCGCAGGGGAUUUGUGUGUAUACUGAAGUUGGAGGAGCCCUGCUCCAGAGGCAUGAUUGGAUUCAGGUUUAAUUUCUUGGUACGAGAAUGCCUCAUACAUGUGUUAUAGAUUUUUUUU